CUUUAUUUUAAAACUGUAAUUACAAUAUCUCUCAGAAAUGUCAAGAACUCAAGCAUGAGUAAUCCUGGAGUUCAACAGGAGCAGAGGCCGUAUUGCUCUAUUGGGCUCGUAACACGGUCGUCUUCGUGUAAACUGAAGCUGGGAGACCCUGUGCUCGUCAACUCGUGGGAAUUCUGCCGCACAGUGAAAACGUGAACCACAGUUACGUCCGACGGUGUCAGCGAAUCUCACGGACCUGACGUCGAACGCAAGAAGCUGCUCACAGAGUCCGUGCUAUACUAUUUCAUUAUUACCAAGUUCGAGAAUAGGCAAAGGGAAUCUCCCGUGACGGUGAGGUUUACAUGAGCAGAUUCACGUAAAGUCCUCGGAAAAGUGAACGACUGGAAAUCAAUCCGUAAGCGUGAGCCACUUUUGUUAGAAUGAGAGACGUUCAGUGAAACCUCUCUGAAAUGAGUGGUGCUCAUUAAACGGUCUUAAUGAGGAGCCUGAAGGUAACCUUGUGGGAGAACCGCACAGGAGCCUCACUGAGGAACUUGGCUCUGGGAAGCAGGACCCCUGGACUUGCAGGCAGAGAUAAAAGAAGUAUGAUGCAGGAAAGGCAUGAGCACAGAGGAUCGAGUGUAAACUAUUCACGAAUUUUUUCAAAAGAAAGAACUACUUCAAAUUAUGUUUUGGUAGUAGAAAAGGGGACGCUUAGGCAAAACUUGCGGACUCGUUGGCAUUCCUUUAGAUAAAUAGGUGAAGCCUGGAUCUUUCACUCCGCAAACCACGAAAAUCGCCAGGGUGAGGAGACUCACUGGGUUGGCUCCAACAGUGUGUGUUUCUGAGAAGCCGUCUCACAAAACCUGACCCCAGUGAAAUGAGCCAUUCAUCACAAAGACUUUAAAAACAUAGGGUAUACUUUGUCUCUGAUAUAUUGGGUCAACUUUGUCUAUAUAGUUACGGUUUUGUAUGAUAAGACCCAAACGGAGAGAUUUCCACGAGCACACUAAAAUUGUAUGCAAAA